ensembl:lncRNA
CAAAGAAUGUUUGUCUUUUUAAAAUGUUGCACAGAUAUUUCUGUUCAUUCUUUUAUACAUAGAAACAUUUGUACAAAGGGAUGGCUAUGGAAGGGCACUGUCCUGCUUGUAGAUAUGGUCACACAGUUGUUUUACAUAUGUACAUGCCAUACAGAACACGUAACAGCAGCUAAGGGCGGGCAGGGGAUGGACGGAGGUGUUAUCACACACACGCACACAGACACAUACAAACAACACACACAUACACAUCCACUGUUCAGAUCAGAGAGAAUCCUUAUCUACUGUAGCGAUAAAAUACACUCAGACACUCGCUUUAUCUAGAGAGGUGUGAUAUAUCCCCACCAGUGUUAGAAGAUAGCAUUGGAAGAGCUGUGGGAUAGUGUUGUUAAUUUUCAUCUUCUACCUUACAGAGCAGAAUACGCUCUGAAGAAGCCAGCAUGGUAUUCUCUCUCUCUACCUCUCUCUCUCUCCAUCUUUUUCAUUAUCUCUACAGCUCUCUCUCUUUUUCUCACUCCCUCUACAUCUCUCUCUCUCUACUUCUACCUCUCUCUCUCCCUCUCCUUUCUCUCUAUCCUGUUUCAGUUUGAAUGAAUAACACACAUCCUGAGAUUUCACAUUAGGACUAGGAACUAGGAAGCUUGGAGUUAUGCAUCAUCACCUACUGUAUGAUAAGCAGACAGGUGGUAGUUAGUUACAGUUCUGUAUGAUAAGCAGACAGGUGGUAGUUAGUUACAGUUCUGUAUGAUAAGCAGACAGGUGGUAGUUAGAUACAGUUCUGUAUGAUAAGCAGACAGGUGGUAGUUAGUUACAGUUCUCUAUGAUAAGCUGACAGGUGGUAGUUAGUUACAGUUCUCUAUGAUAAGCAGAAGGGUGGUAGUUAGUUACAGUUCUCUAUGAUAAGCAGAAGGGUGGUAGUUAGUUACAGAUACAGUUGAAGUCAGAAGUUUACAUACACUUAGGUUGGAGUCAUUAAAACUCGUUUUUCAACCACCCCACAAAUUUCUUGUUAACAAACUAUAGUUUUUGGCAAGUCGGUUAGGACAUCUACUUUGUGCAUGACACAAAUAAUUUUGUUUACAGACAGAUUAUUUCACUUAUAAUUCACUGUAUCACAAUUCAGAAGUCAGAAGUUUACAUACACUAAGUUGACUGUGUCUAUUAACAGCUUGGAAAAUUCCAGAAAGAAGCUUCUGAUAGGCUAAUUGACAUAAUUUGAGUCAAUUGGAGGUGUACCUGUGGAUGUAUUUCAAGGCCUACCUUCAAACUCAGUGCCUUUGCUUGACAUAAUGGGGAAAUCAAAAUAAAUAAGCCAAGACCUCAGAAAAAAAUGUAGACCUCCACAAGUCUGGUUCAUCCUUGGGAGCAAAUUCCAAAUGCCUGAAGGUACCACGUUCAUCUGUAUAAACAAUAGUACACAAGUAUAACACCAUGGGACCACGCAGCUGUCAUACCGCUCAGGAAGGAGACGCGUUCUGCCUCCUAGAGAUGAGUGUACUUUGG